AUUGAACGCUGGCGGCAGGCCUAACACAUGCAAGUCGAGCGAGAGGCGGGCGGGUGAGUGAUGUAUGGGGGACUUCGUGAUGUAGGGGGAUAACUAAGGGGAACGGGAGCUAAUACCGCAUACCAUCAGAGGAACCCAUAUGGGAUUAGCUUGUAGGUGGGGUAACGGCUCACCCAGGCGACGAUCCCUAGCGGGUCUGAGAGGAUGAUCAGCCACACUGGAACUGAGACACGGCCCAGACUCCUACGGGAGGCAGCAGUGGGGAAUAUUGCACAAUGGGCGCAAGCCUGAUGCAGCCAUGCCGCGUGUAUGAAGAAGGCCUUCGGGUUGUAAAGUACUUUCAGCGGGGAGGCGUUACCCGCAGAAGAAGCACCGGCUAACUCCGUGCCAGCAGCCGCGGUAAUUC
rnacentral:rRNA from 1 species